AGUGAUCCGGUGGUUCUGUAUGGAAGGGCCAUCGCUCAACGGAUAAAAGGUACUCUGGGGAUAACAGGCUGAUACCGCCCAAGAGUUCAUAUCGACGGCGGUGUUUGGCACCUCGAUGUCGGCUCAUCUCAUCCUGGGGCUGUAGCCGGUCCCAAGGGUAUGGCUGUUCGCCAUUUAAAGAGGUACGUGAGCUGGGUUUAAAACGUCGUGAGACAGUUUGGUCCCUAUCUGCCGUGGGCGUUGGAUAUUUGAAGGGGGCUGCUCCUAGUACGAGAGGACCGGAGUGGACGAACCUCUGGUGUACCGGUUGUCACGCCAGUGGCAUCGCCGGGUAGCUAUGUUCGGAAGAGAUAACCGCUGAAAGCAUCUAAGCGGGAAACUCGCCUUAAGAUGAGAUAUCCCUGGGGACUAGAUCCCCUUGAAGGGUCGUUCGAGACCAGGACGUUGAUAGGUCAGGUGUGUAAGCGCAGUAAUGCGUUCAGCUAACUGAUACUAAUUGCCCGUAAGGCUUGAUCCUAUAACG
rnacentral:rRNA from 1 species